rnacentral:rRNA from 14 species
UCGAACCAUCUAGUAGCUGGUUCCUGCCGAAGUUUCCCUCAGGAUAGCAGAAGCUCGUAUCAGUUUUAUGGGGUAAAGCGAAUGAUUAGAGGUAUUGGGAUUGAAACGAUCUUGACCUAUUCUCAAACUUUGAAUAUGUAAAACGUCCUUGUUACUUAAUUGAACUUGGACUCUUGAAUGAAGAGCUUUUAGUGGGCCAUUUUUGGUAAGCAGAACUGGCGAUGCGGGAUGAACCGAACGUGAAGUUAAGGUGCCGGAGUAUACGCUCAUCAGACACCACAAAAGGUGUUAGUUCAUCUAGACAGCCGGACGGUGGCCCUGGUGGUAGGCAUCCG